rnacentral:rRNA from 1 species
AUGUGCUACUCCUGCGCUCCAUUCGACGGCCGCAACUUCCCCUACAGCCACUCCCUCCUGUGCUCCAUUCGGCGGGUGCUGUUGAAAUUUGGGGAGCGCACUCUCGUGACUGCUGGCAGCCACGACUUCACUGAUGACGACUUCUUCCCCGACCUCGACAACCUCUUCCUCAACGACAUGGGCGACAACCUCAACACCAACGGUGCUGCUCCCGUUGCACCGUAUGUGUUUCUGUCCUUCCUGUUUGAAAUCAUGGUAGAAUUGAUGUUUCUACUCUAUAUCCUACUAGUUCCUCUGUUCCUAAAUAUUUGUCUUUCUAGAGAUUUCGACAAGUGA